rnacentral:miRNA from 1 species
AGACAUGUUCUAAUCGUCAGCUUC